UAAGUUAUUAUUUUUCUGCAAUUUUCUUUUAUUUUUUUGAUUAUUUUCAGUUUUAGUUUGUUAUUUUGGGGUCUAAGGCAGGGAUUAGAAGAUCUCAAAUUCUCAAUGCUUAUCUAAGAACCUAAUUGCUGUAGCACAUUACCAUUUUUGGCACUGUUAUGCUACAGUAAUCAUGAAAAGUAACCAUGCCUUAUUAGGGGCAUUUUUGGGCUUUGAAAUAGUGUUACUCUUUUGUUAGAGUUUGAUGUAAUCAGACUUUGUGCAGAUUAUGAGUGAAAUAAUGGGGUAGCUGUUUUUCUUUACUCUUGUGGAGUGAGCCUCCAAUAGGGGUGUGAGGCCUUCAAAACCCUAGCUGUGAUUCCCAGGUCCUUGAGCGAGGCCCAUACUAUUUUCUGUAUUUCCUUUCUUUUUAGUAAUAAUAUGUGUUCUUUACUUAUUUGUUAUUUUUAACAUCUAUUUUUACCUUUUUUUCCCUUGUAUUUAUUCAAAUUGCUUCCUUUGAUGUCUAAAGAUCCUAUGGUCCAGCUGUAAAACUCGCUGCUCAGAUUUGUCUUUCAAUAUCACUUUAAAUCCUUUUGUUUUCUUAUUUAGAUUUCUUCCUACAAGUUAAUUCAUAAUCUCUAGGUUUGUUGCCACAUCCGUCAUCAAUUUCAUGUUAAAUAAAAUUUCAGUUUUUAUAGUUCAUAUUUAUAUAAAACUCAGAUCUGCAAUGGAAAUUCCAUCACCUUUUAGGUUUCAAUUCUCUUCUAAACCCUUCUAGAUCCCCUUCUGUUAACUGUCCUACGUCAUCGUGUGUAAAUAUGUAUAGAGGAAAUCCAAUAAUCAUGAUGGUUGUUCAAAUAACAUUGUCCAUGCACAUGAGCAACAUCAACAUCACAUAUUGUAAUAUUAAUCAUUUAACAUGUCCAUCUUUGGAAGGUCAACAUCCAUUUUUUUAUAUAUAGGAAACCCGUAGUUGAGCAAGCGAAGUUGGACUCAUUUGUUCCUUGAGAUGAAUAGCUUGGUGGUACUUGUGAUUGAAGUAUGUAAGAGAGAACUAGUGGUUGGUCAACAUGUCACAUCCCUUGCGUAGGACUUGUAAGGAUUUAUGUGCUUGUGUUUAGUCCCACAUUAUAUGUGCAUCAGGUACAUCUUGGGUCCUUAUAUAGGGUCUAGGAAUCUAAAUAAUACUUUUCGACUAGUCUUUUUGGAUGAGGUUCGGGGUUGUUACAAAUGAUAUCAGAGUGAACCUAGCUUAUGGCCUAUGUGGACUAGAGGACAUUGCAACAUGGGCCCAUUUAAGUCAACCAAGGGCUGAUCAUGGUGUUUGUGAUUGUAUUUGAAUGGAUUUGGAUUUUUAGCUUGAUGGGAAUGCUAGGGCUUAAACGAGGAGAGUAUGUGAAAACUCACACGCACAUGUUUAGUCCCACAUCGGUUGUGCAUCAAGUAGAUAUGGGGUACUUAUGCAGGGCCAAAGAACCCAAGUAAUACCUUUUGUCUAGCUUUUUUGGGUGAGAUCCUGGGUUAUAACAAAUAUGCGAGGAUAGUGCAGGCUAGCGUUUAGUUCUAUAUUGACCAUGCAAUGGGUAAAUCAUAUGUACUUAUUUUGGACCAAAGAACCCAAAUAAUAUCUUUCUGCUAGCUUUUUUAGGUGAGAUCUUAGGUCGUUAUAAAUGGUAUCUGAGUGGAUCUGGCCUAUAGCCCAUGCGGACUAGGGGACACUACAGUAUAGGUCAUGAUUGGAUUUGUGGUGCUUAUGAUUGGAUUUGAAUGGAUUUGGAUCUUUAGCUUGGCGAGAAUAUCGGGGCUUAAAUAGGAGUAUGUGAGGAUUAUGUGGGCAUCUAUCUAGUCCCACAUUGAUUAUAUAAUGGGUAGAUCUCGGGUAUUUAUACAGGACCAAGAAACCCAAACAAUUCCUUCUAGCUAGCUUUUUUGGAUGAGGUUUUGGGACUUUGUGCAUCCUUGAAGCCAUCUGAAGAGCAUCUGAUGAUAUCCACUAAGAUCCUGAAUCUUUUUAUAUAAAGAAUUAUGGAGAUUUGUAUACAUGUAUCAUAGCUGUAGCAACUAGUAUCUGUAUCUCAUAUGUAUUGAUUAUGGACAUGAGACGUAAUUUGAAGUAUUCAUGCUUCUUAGCUGAGCAUUACUUUCUUUUACUUUUCCUUUGAGUGGUAUGUGCAUUGUUGGGUAUUAGGUAUAUCAAUUUCAAGCACUUAAUUUGAGUUCUGAUAGUGAAGAAACUAGUGAUGCAGAACUUCGUCUUUAAGCAACAAAGAACCAGAGCACGGGCGCUGAUAAAUGUUAUCAAGGACCCUGCAUGCCCUCCUCCUAUCUCUAUCUUGUUAUUUGCAAAGACGGUAUCCGACUUUACUAAUUGUUUUUUAUAGCAGGCUUGGUAAAUUUUUAAUAUCUUAUUAGUUCUACAUUUGUCUCUAUACAUUAGGGUUCCAACUUCAACUUCAUUACCGCAUGAAUUUGCUGCUCAUUGAUGUUUUUCUUUGAUAAAAGAAUAUUUUAUUUAAUAGGCCUAGUCAAGCUAUCCAUUGGAGCACCAUCAAUUAGAAUUCCCAAGUCAAAAACUUGGAAAACACCUUCUAAGGUUCAAAUGGGGAACUAUGUUGGGGGGGAGGUUGCGACCGUACAACUGUUGGGCUAUGACCCAUUUUGCAUGGACAUGUCAUGUGAUACAAUUGUAAGACAAUAAGCUAUAUUCGGGGUCAUGUUAGUGAUCUUGCACAGCUCAAGUGUAUCAUUAGAAUUUUAGCUAUCAAUCUUCUCUGUUUUCU